rnacentral:rRNA from 1 species
GGACCCGCACAAGCGGUGGAGCAUGUGGUUUAAUUCGACGAUAAACGAAGAACCUCACCAAGGUUUGACAUCUAGCUGCAUGUCCUGGAAACAGGAAGGCCUUCGAGGGUGCUAGACAGAUGCUGCAUGGUUGCCGUCAGUUCGUGUCGUAAGAUGUACCGUUAAGUCGGAAAACGAACGCAACCCUUAUUUCAUGUUUUAUAUGUCAUGAAAGACUGCCCGUUUUAAAUGGGAGGAAGGUGGGGAUGACGUCAAAUCAGCAUGGUUCUUACACCUUGGGCUACACACGUGCUACAAUGGGAAAUACAAAGGGACGCCAAAUCGUAAGAUGGAGCAAAUCCCUAAAAAUUUUCCUCAGUUCGGAUUGAGGUCUGCAACUGACCUCAUGAAGUUGGAAUCGCUAGUAAUCGUAGGUCAGCUAUACUACGGUGAAUACGUUCUCGGGUCUU